UGGGGAAUAUUGCACAAUGGGCGCAAGCCUGAUGCAGCCAUGCCGCGUGUGUGAAGAAGGCCUUCGGGUUGUAAAGCACUUUCAGCGAGGAGGAAGGUGGUGAGCUUAAUACGCUCAUCAAUUGACGUUACUCGCAGAAGAAGCACCGGCUAACUCCGUGCCAGCAGCCGCGGUAAUACGGAGGGUGCAAGCGUUAAUCGGAAUUACUGGGCGUAAAGCGCACGCAGGCGGUUUGUUAAGUCAGAUGUGAAAUCCCCGGGCUCAACCUGGGAACUGCAUUUGAAACUGGCAAGCUAGAGUCUCGUAGAGGGGGGUAGAAUUCCAGGUGUAGCGGUGAAAUGCGUAGAGAUCUGGAGGAAUACCGGUGGCGAAGGCGGCCCCCUGGACGAAGACUGACGCUCAGGUGCGAAAGCGUGGGGCAGCAAACAGGAUUAGAUACCCUGGUAGUCCACGCUGUAAAACGAUGUCGAUUUUGGAGGUUGUGCCCUUGAGGCGUGGCCUCCGGAGCUAACGCGUUAAAUCGACCGCCUGGGGAGUACGGCCGCAAGGUUAAAACUUAAAUGAAUUGAC
rnacentral:rRNA from 1 species